rnacentral:rRNA from 1 species
UACAGAGGAGCCAAGCGUUGUCCGGAUUGACUGGGCGUAAAGCGCACGCAGGCGGACGCGCGCGUGGGGUGUGAAAUCUGGCCGCUUAACGGCCAGGCGCCAUCCCAUACGGCGCGUCUGGAGUGAUGCAGAGGUCGGUGGAAUUGCCGGUGUAGUGGUGAAAUGCGUAGAGAUCGGCAGGGACACCCAGGGGGAAACCAGCCGACUGGGCAUCUACUGACGCUGAGGUGCGAGAGCGUGGGGAGCGAACCGG